rnacentral:rRNA from 1 species
AAUGAACGCUGGCGGCGUGCCUAACACAUGCAAGUCGGAUGUGCCCGCAAGAGUGCAUGGCAGACGGGUGAGUAACGCGUGGGGAAUCUACCUUUUAGUGGGGAAUAACGCUCCGAAAGGAGUGGUAAUACCGCAUGUGACCAUCGGCUGGGAUGUUGAUGGUGAAACCCUGGGACCUUCGGGCCAGGGGCUAAAGGAGGAUCCUGCGUCUGAUUAGCUAGUUGGCGGGUAACGGGCCCACCAAGGCGACGAUCAGUAGCCGGCCUGAGAGGGUGAUCGGCCACACUGGAACUGAGACACGGUCCAGACUCCUACGGGAGGCAGCAGUGGGGAAUUUUGCGCAAUGGACGAAAGUCUGACGCAGCAACGCCGCGUGGGUGAUGAAGGUCUUCGGAUCGUAAAGCGCUUUUCUGAGAGAUGAGAAAGGACAGUAUCUCAGGAAUAAGUCUCGGCUAACUACGUGCCAGCAGCCGCGGUAAA